UACGUAGGGGGCAAGCGUUGUCCGGAUUUAUUGGGCGUAAAGAGCGGGUAGGCGGCCAGGUAGGUCAGCUGUGAAAACUCGAGGCUCAACCUCGAGACGCCGGUUGAAACCAUCUGGCUAGAGUCCGGAAGAGGAGAGUGGAAUUCCUGGUGUAGCGGUGAAAUGCGUAGAGAUCGGGAGGAACACCAGUGGCGAAGGCGGCUACCUGGACCAGCACUGACACUGAGGCACGAAAGCGUGGGGAGCAAACAGG
rnacentral:rRNA from 1 species